GUGGGGAAUAUUGGACAAUGGGCGCAAGCCUGAUCCAGCCAUGCCGCGUGAGUGAUGAAGGCCCUAGGGUUGUAAAGCUCUUUCACCGGUGAAGAUAAUGACGGUAACCGGAGAAGAAGCCCCGGCUAACUUCGUGCCAGCAGCCGCGGUAAUACGAAGGGGGCUAGCGUUGUUCGGAAUUACUGGGCGUAAAGCGCACGUAGGCGGACAUUUAAGUCAGGGGUGAAAUCCCAGAGCUCAACUCUGGAACUGCCUUUGAUACUGGGUGUCUUGAGUAUGGAAGAGGUAAGUGGAAUUCCGGGUGUAGAGGUGAAAUUCGUAGAUAUUCGGAAGAACACCAGUGGCGAAGGCGACUCACUGGCCCAAUACUGACGCUGAGGCGCGAAAGCGUGGGGAGCAAACAGGAUUAGAAACCCUGGUAGUCC
rnacentral:rRNA from 1 species